rnacentral:rRNA from 1 species
UAACGCGUGGGUAACCUGCCUUACACUGGGGGAUAACACUUAGAAAUAGGUGCUAAUACCGCAUAAGCGCACGAAGCCGCAUGGAUUUGUGUGAAAAACUCCGGUGGUGUAAGAUGGACCCGCGUCUGAUUAGCUUGUUGGCGGGGUAACGGCCCACCAAGGCGACGAUCAGUAGCCGGCCUGAGAGGGUGGACGGCCACAUUGGGACUGAGACACGGCCCAAACUCCUACGGGAGGCAGCAGUGGGGGAUAUUGGACAAUGGGGGGAACCCUGAUCCAGCGACGCCGCGUGAGUGAAGAAGUAUUUCGGUAUGUAAAGCUCUGUCAGCAGGGAAGAAAGAAAUGACGGUACCUGACCAAGAAGCCCCGGCUAACUACGUGCCAGCAGCCGCGGUAAUACGUAGGGGGCAAGCGUUAUCCGGAAUUACUGGGUGUAAAGGGAGCGUAGACGGUUAAGUAAGUCUGGAGUGAAAGGCCGGGGCCCAACCCCGGGACUGCUCUGGAAACUAUUGAACUUGAGUGCAGGAGAGGUAAGCGGAAUUCCUAGUGUAGCGGUGAAAUGCGUAGAUAUUAGGAGGAACACCAGUGGCGAAGGCGGCUUACUGGACUGUAACUGACGUUGAGGCUCGAAAGCGUGGGGGAGCAAACAGGAUUAGAUACCCUGGUAGU